CCAUGCCAACUCACACACCCUCUUUCACAGCCAGGCAAUUAACAGCCUGGCGGGCAAAUGGAGGGACCGGCAGUCCGCGACGGCAAUAUCCAGCAGCUAACAGCGACAAAAAAGCCCAGCUGACGUGGACUAGCCAGUUGUCUAAACCCUAACUCUUAGGGUUUUAGCCCUGUUUUAGGGUUUUGCCCACUUUUAGGGCUCUUGGAACUUUUCCCACAACGUGGACAUUGCUUCUAACCGACACUAGGUAGGGGAUCCCCGCAAGCAAGCAUUGCGUGAACACCUGGCCGGUCCAAUAGUGUUCUCGCUUGUAUUGUCCGAGCGGGGCAUCGAUCGAUCCAUCCUUGUUCGCGUUGUUUGCUUUGGCCGCUCCAACAGUGAUCGAUCGGCCGUUUCCACGCGCUGCGAAUUGGAGCCCUCCUCUGGAUCGCGCGAUCUUUGGCUUCCUUCAUGGCGAUUGGAGCUACUCUGGAACAAUUAAAACCACGCGUGAGCGUCCGAGGAGAAGAACAAGAGGAGGAAGACAGAUUUAUGGAGAGUACCAUGGUGAUCUGGGAGGAGCUCCCGCGGGAUCUCGUGAGUAGCGUCGUUUCGUGGCUGCCAAUCACCGACAUUCUUCGAUCGCGCACCAUCUCCAAGCAGUUCCAUGCGUGGAUCAGCAG
rnacentral:lncRNA from 1 species